GUCAACCAACAGCUAUUGUUUAUUAGAUCUUACCAUCCUACUUGGAUAACUGUGGUAAUUCUAGAGCUAAUACACGCAUCAAAAACGGGACCUAAGGGAACCGUUGCUUUUAUUAAAACAAAACCAAUCGGGCUUCGGCCCGUCAUUUGGUGAAUCUGAAUAACUCUGCCGAUCGCACGGUCCACGAACCGGCGACGCAUCUUUCAAAUGUCUGCCUUAUCAACUUUCGAUGGUAGUUUAUGCCCCUACCAUGGUUGUAACGGGUAACGGAAAAUCAGGGUUUGACUCCGGAGAGGGAGCCUGAGAAACGGCUACCACAUCCAAGGAAGG
rnacentral:rRNA from 1 species